ACAUCACAAAAGCUGACCAGUUUCAUAACAUUAGAGCAUCCUAUAUAUGAUACCUGAUAGGCUGAGAUCUGUGAGGAAGGAAGGGGAAGUAAAUGGAUAAGGAAGGAAACAGUGACUGUAAAAGACUGGCAAACAGCUCCAGAACAGAUACACAACUUUGGAAUGGCAACAACUUCACAACACAACUUUAAAAAAAAACACAAAAACAACCACACACUUAUUUAUAAUCAACAGUGUGCUGCUGAUAUUUUACAAAUCACAAGACCUGAUACAAUCAUUGGCCUGUAGCAGUAGUCAAUAACACAGAAAGCAGAAGUACAGAAAAAGGGCAGAGGUUUGACAGAAGAUUUACAAAGAGAACAUGACAGAUGGCAGAAUAUAUGCGGACAGAAGAGGAAUGGAAAAAAUGUUCAGUGUUUCCAAAUCAGCCAGAGUUGCCAAGAAAAUGUU